rnacentral:rRNA from 1 species
AACGGACGCUGGCGGCGUGCCUAAGACAUGCAAGUCGUGCGGAAAGGCUCCUUCGGGAGUACUCGAGCGGCGCACGGGUGAGUAACACGUGGGUAAUCUACCUGAGGGUCUGGGAUAACUCCGGGAAACUGGGGCUAAUACCAGAUGAGACCACGGCGUCUUCGGACGCAGCGGUCAAAGAUGGCCUCUCCUUGGAAGCUAUCGCCCGCAGAUGAGCCCGCGUCCCAUUAGCUAGUUGGCGGGGUAACGGCCCACCAAGGCGACGAUGGGUAGCUGGUCUGAGAGGAUGAUCAGCCACACUGGAACUGAGACACGGUCCAGACUCCUACGGGAGGCAGCAGUCGGGAAUUUUGGGCAAUGGGCGAAAGCCUGACCCAGCAACGCCGCGUGAGGGAUGAC